CACCAGCUCACCUUCUGCCUA
rnacentral:miRNA from 1 species